rnacentral:SRP_RNA from 1 species
GCCGGAUGCGGUGACAGGCACCUGUAGUCCCAGCUACUUGGGAGGCUGAGACAGGAGGAUCCCUAGAGUCCAGUUCUGGGCUGUGGUGCGCUAUGCGAUAGGGUGUCCACACUAAGUUCGGCAUCAAUGUGGUGACCUCCCAGGAGCGGAGGUCCACCAGGUUGCCUAAGGAGGGGUGAACCAGCUCCGGUAGGAAACAGAGCAGGUCAAAAGUAAUUUGGAUCAUAGGUGACUAGAAUCAUGAAUAAAACAAAAACAGUAUAUGAAGAUUUUUGUU